GGGUUGUGAGGUUAAGCGACUAAGCGUACACGGUGGAUGCCCUGGCAGUCAGAGGCGAUGAAGGGCGUGCUAAUCUGCGAUAAGCGCCGGUAAGGUGAUAUGAACCGUUAUAACCGGCGAUACCCGAAUGGGGAAACCCAGUGUGAUUCGUCACACUAUCAUUAACUGAAUCCAUAGGUUAAUGAGGCGAACCGGGGGAACUGAAACAUCUAAGUACCCCGAGGAAAAGAAAUCAACCGAGAUUCCCCCAGUAGCGGCGAGCGAACGGGGAGGAGCCCAGAGCCUGAAUCAGCAUGUGUGUUAGUGGAAGCGUCUGGAAAGGCGCGCGAUACAGGGUGACAGCCCCGUACACAAAAGCGCAUGUGCUGUGAGCUCGAUGAGUAGGGCGGGACACGUGGUAUCCUGUCUGAAUAUGGGGGGACCAUCCUCCAAGGCUAAAUACUCCUGACUGACCGAUAGUGAACCAGUACCGUGAGGGAAAGGCGAAAAGAACCCCGGCGAGGGGAGUGAAAAAGAACCUGAAACCGUGUACGUACAAGCAGUGGGAGCACAGGUUUACCUGUGUGACUGCGUACCUUUUGUAUAAUGGGUCAGCGACUUAUAUUCUGUAGCAAGGUUAACCGAAUAGGGGAGCCGGAGGGAAACCGAGUCUUAAUUGGGCGUUAAGUUGCAGGGUAUAGACCCGAAACCCGGUGAUCUAGCCAUGGGCAGGUUGAAGGUUGGGUAACACUAACUGGAGGACCGAACCGACUAAUGUUGAAAAAUUAGCGGAUGACCUGUGGCUGGGGGUGAAAGGCCAAUCAAACCGGGAGAUAGCUGGUUCUCCCCGAAAGCUAUUUAGGUAGCGCCUCGUGAAUUCAUCUCCGGGGGUAGAGCACUGUUUCGGCUAGGGGGCCAUCCCGGCUUACCAACCCGAUGCAAACUGCGAAUACCGGAGAAUGUUAUCACGGGAGACACACGGCGGGUGCUAACGUCCGUCGUGAAGAGGGAAACAACCCAGACCGCCAGCUAAGGUCCCAAAGUCAUGGUUAAGUGGGAAACGAUGUGGGAAGGCCCAGACAGCCAGGAUGUUGGCUUAGAAGCAGCCAUCAUUUAAAGAAAGCGUAAUAGCUCACUGGUCGAGUCGGCCUGCGCGGAAGAUGUAACGGGGCUAAACCAUGCACCGAAGCUGCGGCAGCGACACUGUGUGUUGUUGGGUAGGGGAGCGUUCUGUAAGCCUGUGAAGGUGGCCUGUGAGGGUUGCUGGAGGUAUCAGAAGUGCGAAUGCUGACAUAAGUAACGAUAAAGCGGGUGAAAAGCCCGCUCGCCGGAAGACCAAGGGUUCCUGUCCAACGUUAAUCGGGGCAGGGUGAGUCGACCCCUAAGGCGAGGCCGAAAGGCGUAGUCGAUGGGAAACGGGUUAAUAUUCCCGUACUUGGUGUUACUGCGAAGGGGGGACGGAGAAGGCUAUGUUGGCCGGGCGACGGUUGUCCCGGUUUAAGCGUGUAGGCUGGUUUUCCAGGCAAAUCCGGAAAAUCAAGGCUGAGGCGUGACGACGAGGCACUACGGUGCUGAAGCAACAAAUGCCCUGCUUCCAGGAAAAGCCUCUAAGCAUCAGGUAACACGAAAUCGUACCCCAAACCGACACAGGUGGUCAGGUAGAGAAUACCAAGGCGCUUGAGAGAACUCGGGUGAAGGAACUAGGCAAAAUGGUGCCGUAACUUCGGGAGAAGGCACGCUGACACGUAGGUGAAGUGAUUUACUCAUGGAGCUGAAGUCAGUCGAAGAUACCAGCUGGCUGCAACUGUUUAUUAAAAACACAGCACUGUGCAAACACGAAAGUGGACGUAUACGGUGUGACGCCUGCCCGGUGCCGGAAGGUUAAUUGAUGGGGUCAGCGCAAGCGAAGCUCCUGAUCGAAGCCCCGGUAAACGGCGGCCGUAACUAUAACGGUCCUAAGGUAGCGAAAUUCCUUGUCGGGUAAGUUCCGACCUGCACGAAUGGCGUAAUGAUGGCCAGGCUGUCUCCACCCGAGACUCAGUGAAAUUGAACUCGCUGUGAAGAUGCAGUGUACCCGCGGCAAGACGGAAAGACCCCGUGAACCUUUACUAUAGCUUGACACUGAACAUUGAGCCUUGAUGUGUAGGAUAGGUGGGAGGCUUUGAAGUGUGGACGCCAGUCUGCAUGGAGCCGACCUUGAAAUACCACCCUUUAAUGUUUGAUGUUCUAACGUGGACCCGUAAUCCGGGUUGCGGACAGUGUCUGGUGGGUAGUUUGACUGGGGCGGUCUCCUCCUAAAGAGUAACGGAGGAGCACGAAGGUUGGCUAAUCCUGGUCGGACAUCAGGAGGUUAGUGCAAUGGCAUAAGCCAGCUUGACUGCGAGCGUGACGGCGCGAGCAGGUGCGAAAGCAGGUCAUAGUGAUCCGGUGGUUCUGAAUGGAAGGGCCAUCGCUCAACGGAUAAAAGGUACUCCGGGGAUAACAGGCUGAUACCGCCCAAGAGUUCAUAUCGACGGCGGUGUUUGGCACCUCGAUGUCGGCUCAUCACAUCCUGGGGCUGAAGUAGGUCCCAAGGGUAUGGCUGUUCGCCAUUUAAAGUGGUACGCGAGCUGGGUUUAGAACGUCGUGAGACAGUUCGGUCCCUAUCUGCCGUGGGCGCUGGAGAACUGAGGGGGGCUGCUCCUAGUACGAGAGGACCGGAGUGGACGCAUCACUGGUGUUCGGGUUGUCAUGCCAAUGGCACUGCCCGGUAGCUAAAUGCGGAAGAGAUAAGUGCUGAAAGCAUCUAAGCACGAAACUUGCCCCGAGAUGAGUUCUCCCUGAGACUUAGAGUCUCCUGAAGGAACGUUGAAGACGACGACGUUGAUAGGCCGGGUGUGUAAGCGCAGCGAUGCGUUGAGCUAACCGGUACUAAUGAACCGUGAGGCUUAACCUUACAACGCCGAAG
rnacentral:rRNA from 1 species